rnacentral:lncRNA from 1 species
UAAUUACGAAAGCAUCCUCGACCCACCUUCUAUUAGUAUCACUAGAUUUCCCAAAAUUAAUAAGUUGGACACGCACCUAAGGAGUUAUCAAAGCUCUACUUUCACAUUUGCUGAUCUCCCACAAACCACGCGCCUAAAGACUAUAAAUCUCCAAAAUCAUUUCAAGUUAAUCACAAUUACUCUCUAUAAUCUAACAAAACAUUAUAAUUUCCCCACAUAUAGUUCACAAACAAAGCUAGCAACUCACAUACAGAACUAGGAAAAUAACAAAUAAAACAAAAAAAAACCUAAAUUUCCCCUCAAGCAAUUUCACAAACACUUCAUGUGCAUUUCCCCCAACUGCAGAGCUUAGGCAAUAAAUCAUAGUUCAAAAACAUAAUUAAACCCCACAAUUAACUAACAUAACACAAAUAUGCCUACAACCUCUGAUACAAGCAGCCUUCGAAUCCAAUAUCAAUCGGACAUCAACUCUAGACAGGUAUUCUAUAAUGUAUUAAAACCUAUGCUUCUUCAAAUGUGGCUUUCGAUAGGAACGUCGAGAACACUAACCGUAGAAGGGCUUUGUAAUUUGGGAAUUCUGGUGGCAGAGCCGCACGAUGACCAAAAUCGAUGCAUAGGGUUUCGGUAGAAGGCACAAUGGCGACUGAAAGCGGCGAACAAGAUGUCGACGGCGUAUCCCGGCGCAGCAGUGGCUAAAAGUGGCGAUUAAGAGGGAGACGAGGGAAGUGCGACGAGCUUGGUGGCUGACGUUGCUGCGGCCGGGGAGGACAGAGGGGGGGCGUGCUACUAUGGCCGGAACUUGCCUCGGCAGCGGCGGCGACUAUCUCUCAAAGAGGGAGAGAUCGCGAAGAGAGAGAGAGAUUUGGGGAGGAGAUGAGACGCAGCGAGGGUGGGCGGCAGCGGCGCGACGCAGCGCGACAAGGGUGGGCGGCGACGGGCCGGCGCGGGGCAGCGGCGCCGGCGGCGGAGUCGAGAGGGGAGAGAGAGAGUCGAGAGAGACAGGGAGGAGAGGACGAACAAAACUAGGGCUUCUAGUUUGGGGGGGUUAAUUUCUAAAUUUCCUAAAUUUUUUUCUUUUUUCUUUUUUCACUUUUAAUAUUCAAUUUUUGGUAUUUAGAUUUCUAAUUUAGAUUUUUAAUUUACAUUUUAUAUAAGUGUUGAUAAAAUAAAAAAAAUGUUAUGAAUUUUUUAUUUUUCAAAGUCUAUAUCUAGGAAUAAAUUCAAAUUUUAGGAUAAAU